rnacentral:rRNA from 1 species
CACGUAGGCACCAAGCGUUGUCCGGAUUUAUUGGGCGUAAAGAGCUCGUAGGCGGUUGAGUAAGUCGGGUGUGAAAACUCUGGGCUUAACCCAGAGCCGCCACCCGAUACGGCUCUGACUUGAGUUCGGUAGGGGAGCAGGGAAUUCCUAGUGUAGCGGUGAAAUGCGCAGAUAUUGGGAAGAACACCGGAGGCGAAGGCGGAUUGCUGGGCCGACACUGACGCUGAGGCGCGAAAGCCAGGGGAGCAAACAGG